rnacentral:snRNA from 1 species
GUAUUUACCUGGCGGGGAAAACACCAAGAUCACAAAGGUGGUUUUCCCAGGGCAAGGUUCAUCCAUUGCACUCCAGAUGUGCUGACCCCUGCGAUUUCUUCAUAUGUGGGGAACUGCACUCACACUCUCCCCAG